GGGGGCUGUAGCUCAGUGGUAGAGCCUCUGCUUCAUGUGCAGAAGGUCACAGGUUCAAUCCCUGGUAUCUCCA